GGUUAUUGAAGCACUGUAUAUCCUUGCAAGGACGCCUAAGAUCUCUGGUGAAGCCAGUAUCGGCUGCUAGUUCCGGGCUAGAGGCAGAUUCAGCUGAUGAAUGCCUUAAAAAUGCAAAGAUAGUUGUUGAAUCCGAAGAAGCUGAGAAGAUACAAGUCAGAGUAGAUGUGAACGGGGAGUACACAAAAAUGGUAUUCGAUAGUGUUUUGACAAAAUUAG
rnacentral:misc_RNA from 1 species